ensembl:lncRNA novel transcript
AUUUUGGUAAGUUGAAUAAAAGAUCUUUCUAAAAAGGGAGUUUUUUUUUUUUUUUCUUUUUUGAGGGGGACGGAGUCUCGCUCUGUCGCCCAGGCUGGAGUGCAGUGGCACGAUCUCGGCUCACCGCAAGCUCCACCUCCGGGGUCCAUGCCAUUCUCCUGCCUCAGCCUCCUGAGUAGCUGGGACUACGGGCGCCCGCCACCACGCCCGGCUAAUUUUUUUUGUAUUUUUAGUAGAGACGGGGUUUCACCGUGUUAGCCAGGAUGGUCUCCAUCUCCUGACCUCGUGAUCCGCCCUCCUCAGCCUCCCAACGUGCUGGGAUUACAGGUGUGAGCCAUCACGCCCGGCCAAAAGGGAGUUCUUAUAUUGGCAGUGUAUCAUGAUUAAAGUUAUCCUCCCUCUUUCUCUCCCUCCCACAUAUAUAUUUUCGUGUCAGUAUAUGUAUAUGUGAUUUGUGCCAUUUGUGUGUGUGUAGGUAAAUGAAAGUGGCAUCAAGAGAAUCUCACGUUAAAAAAAAUUUGAGAUAGUACAAUUCUUAUGCAUCAUAUGUUGCAUAAUGUUUGACUAUUAAGAAAUUUGCAUCACACGUCUACUUAUUUCAUUAAACAUGUUACAGUCAAUUAAUUUACUUACACCCUCCAUUUCCUUCUUCCCCCUCUCUCGUUCUCCUGUUGCAGGGUCAUUAUACGUUCCUACUCACAAAAUGUCCUUGUUUUUUCCCUUACUCCUGUCAUUGAUCUUCUGAAUCUUUCCGGCGAACUUAACAUGGAUGUUUUGAUAGAAAGCUCUGGCAUUAACUCUGGAGUUGUUUUGCAAGGAAGGUUGUUCGCUUUUUCACCAUUUUUUUUUCAGGUCCUUGAAGUGUUUUCACAUAGAUAUUUCACAAGAGCCAUUUCAGAAUUGAGAACAUUUGGCGUGCACUCUUCCUCUUUUGGUCCCACAGUUUUUAUGUGUCCUACUUGAAAUUAUGUUUGCUCCCGUUUCAAUUGUAAUAUUGCACUUACUCAUUAGUUUUUAGUUUGAACUCUCCUGCGAGGUCUAAUGUAGAGUUUGGACAAGAACACAGAUUCAUAAUAAACCUACCCAGUCAAUUUGGUAUAAAGGCUUAGAAGGUGGAACUGGCCACAUUUUGAAUUGGAGGUAAGGAUCAGGAAUGCUAAUGGAGAGACAUAGGAUUUUCUUAUGGAAACAAGAAACAAAUAACCUCUGGGCAGUAUUAGAGCCCAGAGAGUGAUAAGCCUCUUCUAACUUCAAUAUUCUAUGUACAAAUUCACAAGACUUUUUUUUUUCUUUCUUUUUUUUGAGACGGAGUCUCACUCUGUAGCCCAGGCUGGAGUGCGAUGGCGCGAUCUUGGCUCACCACAAGCUCCCCCUCCCGGGUUCACGCCAUUCUCCUGCCUCUGCCUCGUGAGUAGCUGGAACUACUGGCGCCUGCCACCACAUCCAGCUAAUUUUUUUGUAUUUUUAGUGCAGACUGGGUUUCACCGUGUUAGCCAGGAUGGUCUGGAUCUCCUGACCUUGGGAUCCGCCCGCCUCGGCCUCCGAAAGUGCUGAGAUUACCGGCGUGAGCCACUGUGCCCGGCCGAGACUUUUAAUUAUGCAAUGCCAGACUGCAUUGCAUAAACCAAAGGCCAACAGAGAGGUGACCUUUCAAAUUACUGGCACAAGAAGAGCUGAGAUCAGAAAGCUCCAACUUAAUGCAAACAUCGACAAGAAAUCCGACAGAAAUGACUUCUGUGUCUGGUCAACUUAACAUAACAUGACAUAUUGUCAAGCGCAUUUGGCUUUUUAGGUAGAAUUGUCUAUAAAGGUUUAACUGCUUUAGAAAAUAUAAAUGUGAAGAUUUGUGGUAUUUGGGUUUAUAUAUAAGAUAUUUCUACAUUGAAAAGAGACUGGAAAAGCUUGGUAUAAGAUUUGUAAAAUAUGUUUGUAAUAAUGCUAAUGGAAGAGGUGAGAUUUGGGUGGGGUGGGGUGUAGAUGGGAACAUGGUUUGGGGAUUGGGGAAAGGGAAGUCAUGCUGUUAAUAAAAUAGUGAGGCAUGUUGUAUAAAGUGUGUUUUAUGUCUCAAUUGAAAUGUUAUAGAGAUAAAUUUAAAAUAGAUCAUGAUGGGUUUUGAAUCUGAUUUCUAAUUUUAAAAUGUUAUGAGCUUUUGUUGCUUUCCUAUUUCAUACACAUUUCUUUAUGGGUUUCACUUAGACUGCAUGAAAUUGCAGAUGCCAAUUACCUUUUAACAAAAUUAAAUUCACAUAUAUGUAUAAUUUGCAUGUAUAUAUCCAUGGAAUUUUUUAUUCUACACGAUAUAUUAUUUUAAAAUGGUUUUUCAAUGACAAAAUAAAAAGUAUUUUUCUAUA